rnacentral:lncRNA from 1 species
AGAACUUGAGCAGGGCAAUGAAUAGAAUCCAGUAAAUUUACCCAAUAAAGGAACAAAAGGCAAUGAAAUGCCAUGUCAAAAUAUCAAACCGUGUGUUUUAUGAUAAGGUUCUGCCAGACUUCAGAAUCUUUACCUCCGUACUCGAAAGCUGUUUUAUAUGAGCAGAGAGAUUUUGAGAAGGCUUAGAUUCCCAGUCGGCCAGCAGAAGCAAGAGCUUCUAGAGACUAUGCUUAAGGAAUAGAUAAUCAAAAGAGGAAGUUACAAAAGGGGCUAAACUACAAAUAGAACCACAGUCGUUCAGUCAAACAAUCAAAAUAUUUAUCAAAGAUAAUGACAAAAAAUGAAUGGUGAUGGAUAACAGAUACAUUGUUACUUGAAGGCUAGACCUAUAAAUAAUUAUGGCGGGAUUGUUCAUAAAGAAUUUCUAUUUGUGAUCUAUAAAUUUUUCAGGGGCAAGAUUCCCACAAGGUGCUUCAAACCUGGUUCAAUCAUAAAAACACAUACCGUAACUCUCAUAGAAGAAUUACCAAUCACCACUUACCGCAGCUUAAUCUCUGUUACUAACUCUGAUAUAGUGGAACUGGAUCCAUAUGAAUCAAAUAUUCCUAGAGGAAGAUCAGAUGUAACAGCUCCAUUUGUCACCCCGCUUGGCCAUUCAUUAGUACGUUCAGUUAAGGAAGGAAAAUCACAUUAGAACAUACAGAAUAGGGGCAAUUAAUGGAUAAUUGAAAGCAUGAAUAACAAAAAUCAACUACCCAGUGUGGAAUAUCAUUUUAGCACAAGCAGAGUUUUAGGCCAAGUCUACUAUGCCAG